CCUGUCAAAUCUACCAAACCUUCUUAAGGCAGGGUCAAUGCUAUUGGGGCGAUUAGUGGCACCCAUAACAAUUACAUGGGCACGUGACUUAAGUCCAUCCAUAAGUGUCAAAAGCUGGGAGACAAUCCUCCGCUCCACCUCUCCAUUUGUCUUCUCACGUUUAGGAGCAAUUGAAUCAAUUUCGUCGAUGAAAAUAAUUGAUGGUGCAUUCUUCUCAGCUU
rnacentral:misc_RNA from 1 species